rnacentral:rRNA from 1 species
AUGGGAGCCAUCGUAGCUCGUAGGUUGCAUCAGAAUAGACAUAACGAAGAUUUCUUUGGAGGAAUUUAUGCAACCCGCUUAGCUAAUUUUCUUGAGAUAGACAUUCGCGAGGGUGAUAUGGAGUUACCCCCUUCUUAUUUAGAUUUUGAUUCUAUGGCAUCUCACCAGUUUGUUGAGAGGACUGAACCACCUCUCCAGUGUCGACUAAUCUUUAACAAACGUCAUGUAGUCCAUAUUGCUCUUCCUGCUCCUGCCUUCUUUGAUUUUCAGACAAAAGGAAGAUAUAUUAUUACCAGAGAGGAGGCAGAUGAGUACGAGAGGAGAGCGGAGGCUGAUCGACGCCACGCUACAGCUCAGGCGGCGAUAGCAGCUGCAUCAUAG